rnacentral:lncRNA from 1 species
GUUUAAAAUGCUAAGGCAGCCGGAGCAGCUCGCUGGGGUCUCUGCAAUCAGGAAAGGUAUAAAGGCUGUGAAUCAGAUGGCACUGCUAAACUGUGGAAGAAUUGAUGGGGAAACUGGCACGGACACGCAUGAAGAAGCAUUUCAGAGCUGGAGCCGCCUGCUUGGGUAGCGUGAGAUCUGCUAAGGGCUGAGUCCUCACUGCAGUUCGGAAUGUUGGAGAGGCUCUGGAUACUGCCAAGCUGGUGGUGCCCCAGCAUCCUUGUGAGGUAGAUGCGCAGUACCAAACACAUGGGACCUGAGUUCUGGCCUGGGUUCGCAGCAGUGGGAACCAUGAUGUCAUUACGAGUUGGAAACCUUGUGCAGUGCUCGGCAUGGAACGGGUGGGGGGACUGAUGGGUUAGUCAGCAUGGAGCUGAGGCAGCGACAGAUUUACUGCUCCUUACACUUCCAUACGACUGAGGGAGAGGAAGCCUUGCCCAGCAUGAAGGUAUCCAUCGGGGGUUACAAGGUCAGCAUUCAAGAUGUUGGGUUACGUUCCAGGCCAAAAGCGAAAUGAUGAGUGACAUGGCCCACUGUCAUCGGAAUAUAUCAUCGUGAUCUUGUGCUAUUUCUGAUUGGUGCAGAAGCAGGAAAUUCCAGCAGUCUCCCAAGCAAGCUCUCUCCUCUGGGAUUCUGUCUGUGCUGGCAUCCCUGUCAGAGAUGACUUUUCACACCAUCAAGGCCACUUUCUCAGCUUAUUGACAGCUUUAUGAGCGCUGUUGGAAGAGCCCCAGCUUCGUUCCUCGGCUCCGGCUUUCCGUCGGGCGAGAGAGAGUUCUGUGGAGGUGUUUCUGCUUGGCUGAAGUUCUGAAGAGCAGCAUUCUUUCUCACACCAUCGCGUGACUCCUCCUGGGGCCAUCGUUGGUCAUUAAACAUGUUGAGAGCUCUGCCUUUGCUCUUGACACAACGUUAAGAAUGUGAUGAAACUGCGUGGAAACAAAUAGAUUGUAAAUAAGCUUGUUCAGUAAAUAUGCACAAACUGGUCUGGCUACAUCCAGAUGUUCUGGCUUUGUCUCUUCUGCAUUGCAGGGCUGGGAGGUCCCUGAGUGAUUGCACCUGGACGUGUGUUACCUGCUGCUUCUCCACCCUUGAGAUGUAUGAUCACAUCAGGACAACUGGUCAGGAUGUGCUACAGAGCAGCAUUUUUAGUCUCCUUGACUUAGCAGAAAAUGGCAUCCUAGCCCCAAAGCGUUGUGGUUGUCUGGAUACACGUUCACACGUUGCAAGGCUUCUACAGAAAAUCAGAGGAUCUCCUUUAAAGUCGUACCUUGGCCUGAACCACGAGCCUUGGAUGUAAAGCUCCAUGUGGAGCUCUAUCCAAACUGUGGAGUGUACGUGGAUUUCCAGAAAGCUUUUGUCAAGUUUUCACAUCAAAGGCUCUGGCUGUAAGUUACGGCAGGAGGUGAAGGCGGUCCUCGUAGCUGGCUGAGGGGUAGGAAUCACAGCAUCAUAGCAUGGAAUACAUGUGACAGAUGGCUGCGGCUGGGAUGGAGCCGUUCCUUUCCCUGCUCAGAAGAGGGCAAUCAGCAAAACCUCAGGGCAGCUCCAAGGGACAUGAGAGUCUUGCUUUACACACGCACAGAGCAGCCCUGGAAGGAGUGAAAUGAAGAACUGUCAAGGAAAGUUGGAGGAGUUGUGCUGUCCCAAGCGUGCAGGCACGGUGCUUGUAAAACCACAGGGUGUGAGCGUGGUAUUAGCAAGCCUUUGUGUCAUCUCCAGGGGAGAGCUGAGUCCCAUUGAAGGCAGAGGACAGACGUCAUUCAGAGGCAGAAGCCCUGCAGCCAAGACACCCAAACCCUGCUCAUUGCCUUGGCCUUGCUGCAGCAGGUAGCCAAGCAGCUGGCUGUGUGAGUGUGCGGCGCGUGGCUCAGCACAACCUGUGCUCCAGAGGACGUCCAGGAGAGAUUAGCAGGAGGAAAUCUGUAGCUAAUGGGAGUUUCCAUUUAUGAGGAGAUUCUACAGCUCUUCCAGCAUUCCCCUGCACUGGUCCCAGGAGGUCCCAGGUUCCUUCCAAGCUUAUGCCCAGGAUUUGGUUUCAGCAGUAAUCUAAGGGAAGUGGUUGGCUCUCUCCUGCCUGUGCCUGACCCCUGUCCAACAGCACGAAGGAGAAUGAAGAGGAUGGACUUUGCUGGAGGCAGGAACCUCUCCAAGGUGUGGAUCUGCUGCAUGUGCCCAUCUGGAAUUUUUAACGCCGUGAGGCUCAAGGGACGUCUUGACUGUUCCUCAUUCCAACUCUUGCUGGAUUACCUGUCCAAGGAGUGGAGCAGCCUGGAGGAGCCUCUUUGUUAUUCCCUCAUCCAUUUGUUUGGAGAUGCAGACAUAGAGCCGGAAGCACUGAAGGCUUUAUCUACCUGACCUUCUGAACAGCAGGCUAUGAAAUGUUGUCCAUUAACCUCACAGCUGAGCCCACUAACUCACUUCUGGCUGAAACGUCUUUGCCACUCCGUCUGGGCAGAGCAUGCAGCUCCAUAAUUGCAGCUGCUGCUGAGAUAACAAAGUCUGCUUUGGGACCAGCAGUGCAGCCCCUGGGAAGCACUGAUCCCCCUCUGUGUCAGGAUGUGCUGUCUGCAGGGCAGCUGAGUGAGUCAAGGGCUGGAUUUGCCUUGCUCUGAACUGAACAAAUACAGCAAGGCACAGCCUGCUCCAAGCUUCUUUAGGUCCAGCAAGAGACAGCAAAAUUCACUGGUUUCACUUUGAGGUGUGAUGGAAGACAGAUCCUAUCAGAAACUUCUCUGUGUCAUCUGGUUGGCCAAGACACCUACAGGUAAUGAGAUGCUUUCCACUUAAUUCAAUCACCAGUUAAUUCGAUCCUCUAUUUAAUUUGUUCCAAACGUCUG